CGGAUUGUAGCGUAAUAGGAUAACGAGUCUAAUUUGGGAUUAGAAGAUUGCUAGUUCAACUCUAGCCAAUCCGA